UACGUAGGGUGCAAGCGUUGUCCGGAAUUAUUGGGCGUAAAGAGCUCGUAGGCGGUUUGUCGCGUCUGCUGUGAAAACUCGGGGCUUAACCCCGGGCCUGCAGUGGGUACGGGCAGACUAGAGUGCGGUAGGGGAGACUGGAAUUCCUGGUGUAGCGGUGAAAUGCGCAGAUAUCAGGAGGAACACCGGUGGCGAAGGCAGGUCUCUGGGCCAUAACUGACGCUGAGAAGCGAAAGCAUGGGGAGCGAACAGG
rnacentral:rRNA from 1 species